CCCUAGCCCAGAUAGCAGUGGAAAUCCUUUUUCCUUUUUUUUCAAAAAAAAGAAAAAGAUUGUAACGGAUAGCUGGACACGAG
rnacentral:sRNA from 1 species